GACGAGCUGUGCAAACGUUAUUCGGAAUUACUGGGCUUAAAGAGUUCGUAGGCGGCGCGUUAGGUGGGGUGUGAAAUCCCUCGGCUCAACCGAGGAAUGGCGCUCCAAACCGGCGUGCUUGAGGAAGGUAGAGGUGAGCGGAACUGAUGGUGGAGCGGUGAAAUGCGUUGAUAUCAUCAGGAACACCGGAGGCGAAGGCGGGCUCACUGGGCCUUUUCUGACGCUGAGGAACGGAAAGCCAGGGUAGCGAACGGG
rnacentral:rRNA from 1 species